CGGACGGGUGAGUAACGCGUGGAUAACCUGCCUCACACUGGGGGAUAACAGUUAGAAAUGGCUGCUAAUACCGCAUAAGCGCACAGUACCGCAUGGUACGGUGUGAAAAACCCAGGUGGUGUGAGAUGGAUCCGCGUCUGAUUAGCCAGUUGGCGGGGUAACGGCCCACCAAAGCGACGAUCAGUAGCCGACCUGAGAGGGUGACCGGCCACAUUGGGACUGAGACAAGGCCCAA
rnacentral:rRNA from 1 species